rnacentral:rRNA from 1 species
GAUGAACGCUGGCGGCGUGCCUAAUACAUGCAAGUCGAGCGAACAGACGAGGAGCUUGCUCCUCUGACGUUAGCGGCGGACGGGUGAGUAACACGUGGAUAACCUACCUAUAAGACUGGGAUAACUUCGGGAAACCGGAGCUAAUACCGUAUAACAUGUUGAACCGCAUGGUUCAACAGUGAAAGACGGUCUUGCUGUCACUUAUAGAUGGAUCCGCGCCGCAUUAGCUAGUUGGUAAGGUAACGGCUUACCAAGGCAACGAUGCGUAGCCGACCUGAGAGGGUGAUCGGCCACACUGGAACUGAGACACGGUCCAGACUCCUACGGGAGGCAGCAGUAGGGAAUCUUCCGCAAUGGGCGAAAGCCUGACGGAGCAACGCCGCGUGAGUGAAGAAGGUCUUCGGAUCGUAAAACUCUGUUAUUAGGGAAGAACAAAUGUGUAAGUAACUAUGCACGUCUUGACGGUACCUAAUCAGAAAACCACGGCUAACUACGU